rnacentral:tRNA from 1 species
UCCCUUGUGGCCUAGUGGUUAAGGACUCAGUGUUGUCACUGCUGUGGCUCAGGUUCGAUCCCUGGCCUGGGAA